rnacentral:rRNA from 1 species
UAGUCAUCCGCUUGUCUCAAAGAUUAAGCCAUGCAUGUCUAAGUAUAAGCAACCCCUAUAGUGAAACUGCGAAUGGCUCAUUAAAUCAGUUAUCGUUUAUUUGAUAGUACCUUACUACUUGGAUAACCGUGGUAAUUCUAGAGCUAAUACAUGCUAAAAACCCCGACUUCGGAAGGGGUGUAUUUAUUAGAUAAAAAACCAAUGCUCUUCGGGGCUCCUUGGUGAUUCAUAAUAACUUAACGAAUCGCAUGGCCUUGUGCCGGCGAUGGUUCAUUCAAAUUUCUGCCCUAUCAACUUUCGAUGGUAGGAUAGUGGCCUACCAUGGUUUCAACGGGUAACGGGGAAUUAGGGUUCUAUUCCGGAGAGGGAGCCUGAGAAACGACUACCACAUCCAAGGAAGGCAGCAGGCGCGCAAAUUACCCAAUCCCGACACGGGGAGGUAGUGACAAUAAAUACUGAUACAGGGCUCUUUUGAGUCUUGUAAUUGGAAUGAGUACAAUUUAAAUCCCUUAACGAGGAACAAUU